GCGGGGUUAGCUCAGAGGAAGAGCGCUUGCCUUACAAGCAAGAAGUCGUUGGUUCAAGUCCAUCACCCCGCACCA
rnacentral:tRNA from 1 species